rnacentral:lncRNA from 10 species
GGGGAAUGGAUUUAGGACCACAUGUAAAAUGAUACUUUCCCCAAUAUAGCUUAAUAGAAACAUGUCAUUUGUAGGUGGAAAAAACCUUCAUAUUCAUAUCCCCAGGAAGUCAAUGGAAAAUGAAGGUCGAUGGAAAAUGAAGUUAAUAUCUAUGUAAAGCUUAAAAUUAAAAAGUGAAUAUUAAAAAGAAACAUGAAUAAUAUGCUUCUUUGGAGUUUGGGGUUUUGCUAUGGUUGUUGUUGUUGCUGUUGUUUUUCUUUUAGUAACUACUUGGUUAGUGUAAAGCAGAGAGGAGAAUUAGGAGAGGCAGAUGGCAGAGAGGUCUGCCAUGGAAGAUUCAUGGAUGACAGGAGAGGCUGUGUUCCAGAAGGCAAGGUGAACAGGCUUUACACACACAGUUUGGGAUGCCUCUGGGUACCACUUGGCAGGGCUGUUAGGAGGGCUGGUCCCAGGCUCCAAGUUCUAAGCAAAGCUUGAGCAUUCAGGCCAGGUCUGCAGCCCAGGAAGUUUACACACAAACAUAUGAGUCAAGAAGAGCUUCAAGGACAGGGUGAGCAGUGGGUCAGGGGGCAGGUAGCCAGGCAAGGGCAAGGCUGACUGGCAGGCGAGCACCAGAAAGGGAGGCAUCCAGACUCCUUGACCUUCUUGACGUAUGUCUGUGACCCUCGUUCCAGGAAGAAGAGCCCAAGGACCGUAGCAAGGCCCUGAUUCUGGGAGACGAGAGAACACGCUGACUUAGAAUGCUUGUCUCUGCAUCCUGGUCAGAAAGUAGAUGGACGACACUUUCAUCUCCGACUGGAUUUUGGUGAGAGAUGGGCAAACCCCGGGCUCUAGGCUGGAGCAGCAGCUCUUGUAUCCACACAAAAUCAGGACUGGUGGAGGGAGCCAUCUUCAAACAUAAAUUUGCGUCUUUUGGCAAUGCACUCCUUGGGUUUGGAAGCUUCCCUCCAAGAUGCUGAGCCCAAUGUUUGGGGAAAGCCAGGGAAACAGAUGCUGGGUCAGUGCUGCUCCCACCUCCUCUGCUCCCCUCCUGAGGGCUCCACUGAGUCACCAGCCAGCAAACAGCCCAUGCGCCCUGGAGCAGAUGGACUGUGGGUACACGAGCCUCUGAACUCUUGGGCAGCAUGGGCACAACAUCCUUUUGGCCUCACCCAAUGACCUGGCUGAGAGUAGGCACUGGACACUUCCUCAGAUGUACACGUUGGUUUCUGGGAGCCGUGUUGAACCUGCUGGCCUUUUCCAUUCCCUGGACUCUACCGCUGGGAAGCUGAUCAGGGCUGUGCUACUUCCUUGCCAUCUUCCCCUCCCACUGGACUGACCGGAAGUCCCACUGUAUCGUCCAGAUCAGCUGUGAACAAGCUGUUGAAUGAGCAGAUAAAGGAGGAGUAUGUGCAUAGGUCGUGUAUAGGCCGGGGGUUGAAAUGCUCCCAUCAGCAUGAGGGUCUCCUUCCUGUGCCACCUGGGCUGCCUGGAGGACCAGCCUUGAUAGCGCUGUGUUUCCUAUCUCCUGCCCUCAAGAUGCAAAUUUGACUGACUUCAGCUGGGACAAGCGGGGAGGAGGUGUGUAAUGAGCCACUCUCAGGUACUCAACCUCUGGACAGAUCCGUGUGUUUAAUUAAUUAUAAUCUAACUACCUGAAGUAGAAGAGGAAGCAGUGGGCUCCACAUGGGCCAGGUCCUUUAACACAUGAACUUUGAUCCCAGCCCCCGAGGUCAGCCAUCAGCUCCUCAUCCUGCAGCCUGCCCAAUGCUUCAUUACCCAAUUAACCCGUCAUUUUAGAGCCAGGUGGUUUAAGGGACUGUGUAAGAAGAACCUGGGACUCCAGGGCCGCAGCCUUUGGUUAUGGUCCUGUUGUGGUUCUAAUGCACUAAUUAAAUAUCUGUCUCUUCUAAAAGUCUGCGUGAUUUAUUGGAAAAUUGGUAGAAACAGCCCUUGGGGGGCUGUGCUCAAAAUCUGGUUUAAAAGGGUGGCUACUGGCUGUGACUCUUUGAUUUCCUCUAUCCUAUUGAAUGUCAUUAGCCCCCUUUCAUGUAAAAUAAAUGUUUGACU